CGGCCGACGACCUCUCUCUCCCUCGACCGCCCCCCUGGGUGAAUUUCGAUCAAUUGGAGGGAGCGGGGCUCUUGCCGGAGGGGAAAGGAGAACAGUUCGGGGACGCGGAUCGGGGACCCCUCGCCUCCCCCGAGCCCCUCCCGCUCCCCAGUGUCCUCGCGGCCCAGUAGCUCCAGCGAGUCGGAUUCUGCCGCGGAGACUGUGCGGCCGCGGGGACCGCCGCGGGCUGGGCGCCGGUUCCCGGGCUCAACACUGCCACUAUCUGACACAACAGGAGCAGUGUUGGGGGGAGCUAGCUGCGUGCAGAGACGCGAGAUGUGAUAGGCUCUUCUAAAUGGGUGCUCUCUCUUUUUUUUUUUUUUUAAACCUGGUAAUUACAUUUCACUUCCAGAGAUUUAUAUUUUUUUGUUAAGCUACUUGUUUGCAUUCAAAUGUUCAUGAGCACUCCUCUUUAUUCCGUAGAACCGGACCCUUGAUGAAGGCAAGGAUCAGACGAGAAGACAAAAAUGCACAUUGACAUACAGUUAGUUCCCUUUACAGGGUGGCAGAAAUGAACAAGAUGAAAGCAACGUCUUCCUUUCUGACAAAAAUACGGUGCUGUUUCAAAUCUCUCUGAGAAUUUGUAUUUGCGUUGCAAGAGUAUUUCCAGGACAACUGAGCAAUGAAACCCCCAGGCUUACAUCGAUAUCAUGUGACAAAUUGAGGUGAACUUGAUUCUGGGGCAUCUACAAAGGGUCUGCUUUAAACCUCCAGUAAAAUAGGAGUUUUGACAGGGUUCCUGGCUCUCAUGUUUUUUAAGAGUUUGGAGUCAUUUGAACUGGGGAAUGGAAUGAUGCUGAGGAGAGCAAGAGGGCUUCCUCCUCACCAACCCUCUCAGCUACUACUGUCCUGGGUUGGUUGCCUAGUGUGAAUUCUGCCACAGAACUCCGCUCUGGCUGCUCUCACCUGUAGUUUCCAAAGUGAAUCAAAGAAGAUUGAAGAAUAUGUGAUGUCGCCAUCUUCUGCUUCUCAGAGAACUGUUCUGUUUGGGCACGAGCUUUUCCUUCCAUAACUGUCACUCUACGACUAAAGUGGGGGUGUCAUUUCAACAGGUCUUUUAUCAUAGUUCAUAUUGGGACGUUAUUAUUAAUGCCCCAAUCAAGUGACCAUUAAUUAGAAGAAAAAAAGGUAGGGUCAAUGAGCUACUAAAGGAGACAAAACUAAGGCACGGAAGCAAGGUCAAAACCAAACAUUCUUUGGAUCAAUUGGCUAUGAGCUUUUGCUCCCCGACUUCUGAAUCCUAGACCUAAGUCUGCAGGACAAUAAUAGCAUCUAAGUCAGUAAUAGCAUCCAGUCGGUUUCCUAUCCCUUCUCAAAGGAGAAGGCCUCUCAGAAAUCAGAGUGGCUUCCCCACAGUAUAUGGCUGGCAGAUGUCAUAAUCAGAAGGAAAAAUAAGCCUGUUUCUUGGUUUGUUUACAGGGUCUUCCAUCCUUUGAAAGCAAAUAAAAGAAACCUGUUCCUUAUUCUAAAAUCCACUACAAUAGCUCAUUACGAAUAAAUAGAGUGCAGAGCUGGUGUCCACCUGGGAGAAUACCUAGUGGACUCCCAUCAGCACAGUGUUAAGAAAACAGUAGACGAUUCCAAGCCAUUGAAUUAAAGUCACGAAUGGACCC
rnacentral:lncRNA from 1 species